CCUACGGGUGGCAGCAGUCGAGAAUCAUUCACAAUGGGGGAAACCCUGAUGGUGCGACGCCGCGUGGGGGAAUGAAGGUCUUCGGAUUGUAAACCCCUGUCAUGUGGGAGCAAAUUAAAAAGAUAGUACCACAAGAGGAAGAGACGGCUAACUCUGUGCCAGCAGCCGCGGUAAUACAGAGGGCUCAAGCGUUGUUCGGAAUCACUGGGCGUAAAGCGUGCGUAGGCUGUUUCGUAAGUCGUGUGUGAAAGGCGCGGGCUCAACCCGCGGACGGCACAUGAUACUGCGAGACUAGAGUAAGGGAGGGGGAACCGGAAUUCUCGGUGUAGCAGUGAAAUGCGUAGAUAUCGAGAGGAACACUCGUGGCGAAGGCGGGUUCCUGGACAGUAACUGACGCUGAGGCACGAAGGCCAGGGGAGCGAAAGGGAUUAGAUACCCUUGUAGUC
rnacentral:rRNA from 1 species